AGCUUAUAAACUAAACAGUCUGUGCUCUAAAUAAAUAAGUGUUCUUCAUCCUCAGCCAUCCAGGAAAUGCAAACUCAAACUUCUUUGAGAUUCCGACUCACACUAGUCAGAAUGGCUGUUAUUAAUAAAGUGAGAUAUGCUGGUGAGUAUGCAAAAUGGUACAUCUUCUAUGAAAAUUAAUGUGAGAUAUCUCAAAAGUCUAAUACUAGACAUAAAAAACAAAUUCCAGAAUAACUCAAUUAAGUCCCUUCCAAUCAGUAGGUUCUUUAAGUGAAAUUCAUUAAUGUUCCAGUGAAAAGAUACGAGCAAAAUGGAUUCUCAAACUCGGAAUCUCUUAUGUCUCUGAGAGACUCUCAUCAGUACCGAUACAAAAGGUUCGAAGGCAGUGGGAAAUGAUACUCUAUGCAAAUGAUAGUUAAAAUCAGAUAAAGAAAUAGACUGGAAGACAAAUAUCAGCCAGUAGGUUUUACACUUUGUUAUAUAAUAGUACACCAAGAAUAAAAUAUGCAUUUUCCCAAAAUCACUUGUAAUAUUCUACUAUGGAAAUAAUUUUUUCACAAAUCUUAAUUUUUUUAAAAAAGUGGAAUCAUACAUUUUUUUCCUAAUUGAAAUAGGACAAAACUAAGUAUUCAGAAAUUAGAAACUUUGAAAAACUUAGUCCAGCUGUGGUGACACAUGUCUUUUAUCCCAGCACUGAGAGGCAGAGACAGAAGCAGAGGCAGGAAGAUUUCUGUGAGUUGAAGCCCAGCCUGGUCUACAUGGUAUCUCAGGUUAGCCAUAGCUAUACAGAGGAUCCUUUUCUUAAAAAAAAAAAAGAAAAAACAUGGAAAAUCACGUAACUUAACACAUAGAAUGGAGAAAGAAAACCCCCACAAGGUGUUCUCAGUUCGGGGGUGGGGGGCUAGAAAAUUGAAGAAACUGAAUAGCCAGUCUUAAUAAAGAUAAAAACUCAACAUGCCUUGAAACUCAAGAGCUUCUACUUAUAUGUUUCCAAGGGCAUCUCUGAACAGCAUGCAACUAAAGUAUUUCAACUGUGAAGGACAGAAUGCAAUAUAUGAGGAACUCUCACGUUCACCACUUAUUUCUCCAUCCUGUAGGUAAUUGAAACAGGAGAACCGGUUUUUAGAGACAAUCAGAUUUGAUUAUUGUAUCUAGUUGUGUCAGUCUCCCCCUAAACACACACCAAGAUGAUGUGAAAUUCUAAUCUCAGUACUUCAGGGUGUGAUUUUAUUUGAAAACUCUUGAUAGAAUUAUAGUCAGGUAAGAUGAGAUGAUAACCAAGAUGCUAGACUUCUACUUCAAUAUAGUUUAUAAGAAGACAUUCAUGUGAGAACAGACAUGGAGGAUACUUUCAGGAAACAUAUGCUUGUGAAGAUGUAUCUACACUCCAAGGAAUUCCAGCAAAUCUCCUAAAGCCAAUUGAUCGAACAAAUGAUUUAAUGUAAAGACCUCAUACAAAACAUGGUUUUCCUGAGAGUUUCACUUUUAACACGUAAUUUCUAGAAUUUUAAAACUAUUUUAAUAGUUUUAUUACUUGUAGUGAUCUAUUUCUAUAACUUGUAGCCAUCCACUUUGUUAGUUGCUUUGUUAUAGAAGGCCAAGGAAACAAAAUGAGCAAUCAGCUUUAUUAAAUACACUGUACAAAUCAUGGUAAUAAUUAUUUAUUAAGAAACUUUUAAUCUAGAUUAUAAUAGAUGCCACUUUGCACCUCCCAAAUACCCAAAUUAACUGUUUAGGAAGAUGUAGGGAAAUCAGAUUCUUCAUAUACUGUUAGUGAGAAUGCCAAGUUGGUCUACUAUAGAAGUAACUCAGUGAGACUUCAACCAUAUGCACAUAUACUUACCAAAUGACCUAGCAACCAAAUCUAUUACUUGAUUUUUGUUAAAAGAAUUAAAAAUCAUUUAGGCAAUACACACACACACACACACACAUAUCAAAGUAUAGCACUCACAAAUACUAGCUACAUAGAAUAAGCCAAAUAUCCAUUUAUUGUUGGGACAACUAUAAGACUAAGCCAUAAUAUUGGGGUGAAUUACUAUACAAUUCAUAGCACGAAUGAACCUUGGAAACACUGCUAAGUGAAAGAAGUCAUAAAGAAAGCCACAUGUUUCAAGUCUGUUAUUCUAGUUUCAUUUCUGUAGGUUGAUAAAAUAUCCUGACAAGACAACUUUAAGGGAGAGAACAUUUUUUUUUUAUCAUGUUGCAGUCCAUCAUUGCAGGAGAUUGACAGAGCUGGUCACAGCACAUCCACAGACAAAAGCAGAGUGAAAUAAAUACAUGAAUGCUAAGUAUUUACAUAACUUUCAGAGAAUGGUGCCACCCACAACAGGCAAGUUUACCUACUCCAAUAAACACAAUUGACAAUAGACCAUAGACAUGCCUAUAGGCCACUCUGAUCUAGAUAAUUCUGAGAAUCUCAUCCUACGUGAGCCUAGGCUAUACCAAAUUGAAAAAAGGGACUACUACUUUCAUGAUUAGACUACUACUUAACAGAAGGCCUAAGAAAAGGACAAGAUGUGAGUGAAGUAAAUGCUUAAUUGUUUGGAGGUUUUUCUUGAAGAAAAAAUGUGGAACUAAGUGGUUGUGAUUGAUAACAGACAUUGUUAGCUUGACUAGUAUCUUAAUUAAGAUUUCCAUUGCUGUGAAGAGACAUCAUGACCAAGGCAACUCUUAUAGAAGACAUCUAAUUGAGGAUGGCAUACAUUUUCAGAGGUUGAGUCCAUUAUCAUCAUGUCAGGAAGCAUGACAGUGUGCAAGCAUACAGUAGGUCCUUAGGAAUGAGAAUGGGAUGCUAUGAUGAAUAGUUAUAUGUUUGGGUUUUGGGUGUCCAGUUGAUAGGUUGUGAUGAUCAACAUUCAUUGUCAACUUGACUGAUUUUAAGGCCACCUGGUAGCAUGCCUCUUAAUGUGGUAGGUUUCAGAAAAAUUUAACAGACCAGGAGUGACUCUUCCUAAAUGUUAAUGAUACCAUCCAGUGGACAUGAGCCAAUGGGAUGGAAUUCUGGACUAAAUCAAGUAUAAAGUCAACUGAGAAUAAAUGUUCAUAGAGUGCUUAGCCAGUAAUACAUAUCAAAAUAAUUUUAAAUAUUAUUUUUCAGAAAGAUUAUCUCCAUCUUCAUGACAUAAAACCUUUAAUUAUGAUAUGAUAAAGGAAGAGUAUCAUAGAACAACACAAAUGUAAAGUUUUGUAUAUUACACUGCAUUCAUUAAGAUAGUACCUACUUUUGAUCUUGCCUUUGAAAUAAACCUAAGUAAUGGAUACUACCUAAAACAGGCAGAUUUUUUAAAAUCCAAAAAAGAAAAAAAAAAAAGUAUGUGUUUUUGUUUGUCUGCAUUUUUAAGCUUUGAAAAACUAUUUUCUAGCCAGUUCCCCUUAGAUGUAUAAGAUUUUUGAAAGACUUUUUGUCUGGCUCCAGUUUUCAAAUCAAGACUAGGAUAUCUAAAGACAAGUCAACUGAUGCUUAAAGUUUCCACCUUCUGGUAAUAUCAAGAGCAAUACUUCAACAAGAAUGUGCCAGCUCACUAAAGAACUCAGGAAAUCAUGAUGGCAUUCACCAGCUUUGGGUGGUGCAAGUUGCUGACAAGCUCUUAUCCUAGGUGAAGAAAUGGUGUAACGUUUCUGUAUAUAUACAGUUUUUGCUUAAAUCUAAACUUAAAAAUAUUCAUGUUUGCACUAUGCUAAAAGGUAAAAUGGAUAGACUGAGUACCUCACUUGGAGGAAAUACAAGAUAUAUAAACAGCGUAUGAUGGCCACACUUGUAAUUUCUCCAAAUUAAAAUUGUUCUUGAUCCUCACUACAUUACAAUGUUGAUAAAAGUAUAACAUCACAUGUCUAAAGACAAUCAUGAAGAGAUAUGUUUAAAAGCUGAUGGGUUAUGAUGCCAGUCAGUCAACUUUCAAAAUUACUCAUCUUUUAACUUUGGUAGUUUCAUGUUCAGCUACAUAUGUAAACACAAACAAUAUAAUGAAUUCAUAAAAUUUCUUGACUAUCGACGUAUACUUUGUAGGUCUCUUGGAGGAAUCAGCAUAAUGUCAAUACAAAUUAAUCAAAUUAAAAAGUUAAAAAAAAAAUGAAUACCUAUUUCUUCGAAGCAUACAACUCUAGUAGUAUGGUGAUAUCUCUCAGGGGCAGUACAAAUACAAAAGCCCUGGAAAUAUUUUAUUUCCCUCCCCUGGUCCAUCCUCAGACCAGUAUUCCUUCACAUCAACCUCAGGAAUUCCAAAUUCUCAGUGACAAAGAGAAAACCUGCCACCACCCACACUCACUAUUAAUUAGGAAUUGCUUCUGCCUUGGUGUAUGCUACCUGAUUUACAGAAGGGCCUCGAUUGAUUCCAUCCAUUAUAGAAACUGCUGUUCAUUGACUUGGCUGAGAAAGUGAUACCACAUUGGUACCCAUUUUCCCUAGCUGUGAUAUUCUUCUAGGAUCUUAAGAGUAAAAACAAGGAGGCAAGCUACAAAUCUUUGAGUUCUAAUAAUAUUGGGUAUUGAAUUAUCAUCGCAUGGGGCACUUAAAUUCAAAUCUAACUCAAGGAAGCAAGCUAAUUCUUUGCUUGUAAAUACAAACACAGACCCUCUUUAUACCCACUUCCAAAAUUUAUCACCAUUAUGCCUGCCUAGUCUAGUAAAAAAUUAACUAAGAAGUAAUGUUACUAUAGUAUCCUGUCUCAUUCCUUUUAAUUCCAAUAUGUGACUGUAAUGCUAGAAGCCUAGGACACCAUUUGGAGUCAGUGUGCACCCAGAUUUUAUACCAGAGUAAGUGUGUAUUUCCCUAUAUUUUCAAAUAUAGCUGAUAUUUAUUGAAAGACCUAUAAAGAACUGAGUGAUCUUCAGAAGUUAAUAUGUUAAACUGAUAUGGUUGUUAAAGAACAAUGGCUGCAGAUGAGUUCUAGUUUUCUGAUUUUACAUUAAUUGCAUUCAAAUGUCAAAUCCAAAGAAACCUUUCGUUCACUGUAUUCCACCUGCAUGAGGUUGAAUUUAGCAAUAGUUUAGCACUAAGACUGGAGUGGGAAUAUCCCAUUUCAUUUAUCAUGGGGAAGUACCAGCAGUGGCCCAUCUUUUGACACUGUUUUUUAUCACAUCUUUUAGCAGAAAAUGUGUAACUAUGUGAAUAUAUGUGUAGUAAUACUGUCAGCAAUGAGAUGAAAGAAAGCCCACGUAGAAACCAGGUCUAGAAUAGAUGCUCAAUAGUUACAAGUAUGAAGAGGAUAGUGUCAAGUUGGGUAGCAAUCAUGAAGAAACACUGAGUCAGAACAUGUACUCUCAAUAUUUUAUAAGAAAAUAAUCACAGGUCCUACAAGUACAUUAUAUUGCACCAAACAAAGGAAAUACUCCACAAAAUUUACAAAACAAAUAUUUUUUUAAAAUGCUGUUUGACCAAGCCAGCUCAGUCAGUCAACAAGUUCUCCAGUGCAGGAGUGAAGACUGAAAAGAAAGAGACAAAUUAGACAGUGCUGCAGUGUGACCCCAGUCAAGUCUGAGACUGAAGGCAAAUUUUUAUUUUCCAACCCACUUUUUAUACCAUUUUAAUUACAUGCAAGUAUUUUGGGCAAGCAGUACUCUAAGGAACAAACAAAGCAGCAAUUCCUGAAAUUACUUCCAUGACAGUUGUUAGAAAGGACUUGUCAUAAUGACUGAAAUACUUGAGCCCACUUCCUCGUCCAAGCCCAAAAUCUUGCCUGAAGCAUAGUCCCUCCCUAAGACUAAAAUUCCUGCCUUACCCUACUCCUCUAUUUCAGCCUAAAGUUAGAUUCUUGCUGAAACUUCCUUAUUAUGCCCUAGUUUCAGAUUCCUGCCUGAGCUUACUUCCUUGCCAUGUCCAAUGUCAGAUUCCUGUCUGAAGCCCACUUCUUUGUCCUUAGCCAAUGUCAGACUCCUGCCAAGUGGUACCCCAAAAGGCUUUCCACAGCUGUUGCACUGGGUACCAAAAAAGGUGCUGAAAGAAGAACACUAGAAGAAAUUUACAUAAGGUGCUAUCAACCACACUCAGACCUGUAUUGACUAUGACAAUCUAUUCUAAAGACAUUCAAAUUCAAGGAGGUGAAGGUGGUAGCUGCAUUUUUUUAAGCUACUACAUCAAGAAUGUAGUAACAGACCACUGGCUGGGUGCAAGUAUAUGUCUUCGUCUCAAGUCAGUUGCUUGUUGGGCCUUUCUGAGUGCAGUCAUGGCAGGCUCCCAUCUGUAAGCACACCACAGCAUCAAUAAUAGUGUCAAGACCUGGUGCCUCCCUCUGAAAUGGAUCCCAAUUUGGGCAGGUCACAGCACCUCUUUUCCCCCCUGUCUCUUCUCCAUUUUUGUUCCUGCAGUUCUUCCAGACAGGAAUAACCCCUAGUCUGAAUUCCUGACUGUGGGAUGGUAACCCUAUCCCUGUCUUUCUUGGAGGUGGACUCCACAAGUUCCCUCUCUCCAUUGUUGGGCAUCUCGCCCAAUGUCCCUCCCUUUAAGUCUUGAGAUUCACCUCCUAGACUCUGGUAUAUUUUAGAGAGUCACGCCACCUCUCCAGGGACCCUUAUGGGUGAAUAGGGGAAAGGCUGAAAGAAGUUGAGGAGGAGGGCAACUCCAUGGGAUGACCAGCAGUCUCCAUGAACAUGGACCCCCAAGAUCUCUCAGACACUGAGCCACCAAUCAGACGACAAACACUGGCUGGUCUGCGGCCCCCAACACAUAUACAGAGGAGGACUGCCUUGCCUGACCUCUGCUAGAGAAGACAUACCUAGCCUUGAGAGACUUAGGGACCUAGGGAGUGGAGGGAGGCCUGGCAGGGUGUUGGGGGGACAUCCUCUUGGAGACAGGGGAGGAAGAAUGGGAUGAGGAACUGGAGGACAGACAGGAGGGGGAUAGUGACUGGACUGUGAGGAAAGAUUAAAGAUUAAGAAAAAAAAAAGAAUAUAGGAAGAAAAGCUAGUACAUCAAAAUGAGUGCUGUAAUGUUUAUACAAAAUGGUUCUCUAAGCCUAUUUCUUCUUUGAUAUUUUCAAUGACAGAGAAUAGAUUCAUUUUCAUUUUAGGUUACCUUCCACUCUUCUUGUCUAUGUGAGGUGAUUUAAGUUUUCCUUAAUAAAUUCAGCUUCCUAAUUUUUAGAAAAUGUUUAUUACAGUGUUCUGCUUUUGUGUUUUGAGCUAUAUUUUCUCUGAUCUGAUUUCAAGUGUAAAUAAAACAAGCCUGUCGUGCUCUGAAAUGUGUGUGUGUGUGUGUGUGUGUGUGUGUGUGUGUGUGUGUGUGUGUGUGUGUAGCAAUAAUUACAGAAGAUCAAGAGUUUGGGAGGUAGGGUGAGGGACAUGGGAGGAGGUAGAAGGAGAGAACGAAGAGAAGGAGGGAGAAGAUGAUGUAAAUAUGAUGCAAUGUAGGUAAUUUCUAAAUGUAGACCAGAAGAAGGAGGAGGAGGAGGAGGAGGACAACAAGGAGGAGGAGUAAAAGAGCAACAACAACAACACAACAGAAGGAAGACAAGGAGGAAGAUGAGGUAGAGGAGGAGAACAAGAACAAGAAGAGCAAGAAGAAGAACAAGAUGAACAAGAACAAGAAGAACAAGGAAAGGCUAGAGAAAUAUCUCAAAGGUUAAGAGCACUUGCUGCUCUUCCAGGUGGCAUGGAUUUGAUUCUCAGCACCCCAUCAGCACCUCACAACACUCUAUAACUCCAGUUCUAUGGAAUUCAAUGUCCUCUUGCUUCUACAGGAAUUAGGCCUAUAACUAUGCCACAGGAAUACAUGCAGGCAAAACACCCAUACAUAUA
rnacentral:lncRNA from 1 species